AGCUCCAAUAGCGUAUAUUAAAGUUGUUGCAGUUAAAAAGCUCGUAGUUGGAUUUCUGUUGAGAGUGAUCAGUUCGAGGCUUAGCCUUGAUACUUGCAUCAUCUCUUAACAUCAAUGAGAAAAACCUGUCUGGCAUUAAGUUGUCGGGUAGGGGAUUCUCAUCUUUUACUGUGAAAAAAUUAGAGUGUUCAAAGCAGGCUUAUGCCGUUGAAUAUAUUAGCAUGGAAUAAUAAGAUAGGACUAUGGUGCUAUUUUGUUGGUUUGUGCGCCAUGGUAAUGAUUAAUAGGGACAGUUGGGGGUAUUCGUAUUCCAAUGUCAGAGGUGAAAUUCUUGGAUUUUUGGAAGACGAACUACUGCGAAAGCAUUUACCAAGGAUGUUUUCA
rnacentral:rRNA from 1 species